rnacentral:rRNA from 1 species
GCCAGCUUACUUUCAGAAUCCAGAUACACAUACCCCUGCCGGCGUCCAGCUAGCUCACUUGCUUUAGUACCUCUCUGCAUCUUUCGAUGGAGUGCGAGAAUGCACACGUUGCCGCCAACGGCGAUGGCUUGUGCGUGGCGCAGCCGGCGCGGGCCGACCCACUGAACUGGGGGAAGGCGGCGGAGGAGCUCUCGGGGAGCCAUUUGGAUGCGGUGAAGCGGAUGGUGGAGGAGUACCGAAGGCCCGUGGUGACCAUGGAGGGCGCCAGCCUGACCAUCGCCAUGGUCGCCGCGGUGGCUGCCAGCAGCGACACCAGGGUGGAGCUCGACGAGUCCGCCCGCGGCCGCGUCAAGGAGAGCAGCGACUGGGUCAUGAACAGCAUGAUGAACGGCACCGACAGCUACGGUGUCACCACCGGCUUCGGCGCAACCUCUCACCGGAGGACCAAGGAGGGCGGCGCUCUGCAGAGAGAGCUCAUCCGAUUCCUUAAUGCGGGAGCCUUCGGCACCGGCACCGACGGUCACGUCCUGCCUGCCGCGGCGACGAGGGCGGCGAUGCUCGUCCGAGUCAAUACCUUGCUCCAGGGAUAUUCAGGCAUCCGCUUCGAGAUCCUGGAGACGGUCGCCACGCUUCUCAACGCCAACGUGACACCAUGCCUGCCGCUCCGGGGCACGAUCACCGCAUCCGGUGACCUCGUCCCGCUUUCAUACAUCGCGGGCCUGGUCACCGGCCGCCCAAACUCCAUGGCGACCGCUCCAGAUGGCACCAAGGUUAAUGCCGCCGAGGCAUUUAAGAUUGCCGGCAUCCAACAUGGGUUCUUCGAGCUGCAACCUAAGGAAGGCCUAGCCAUGGUGAAUGGCACGGCAGUGGGCUCAGGGCUUGCAUCCAUGGUGCUUUUCGAGGCUAACAUCCUUAGCCUCCUUGCCGAGGUCCUGUCAGCCGUCUUCUGCGAGGUGAUGAACGGCAAGCCCGAGUACACCGACCACUUGACCCACAAAUUGAAGCACCACCCUGGACAGAUCGAGGCUGCCGCUAUCAUGGAGCACAUCCUUGAAGGCAGCUCCUACAUGAUGCUCGCGAAGAAGCUCGGUGAGCUUGACCCAUUGAUGAAGCCAAAGCAAGAUAGGUAUGCACUCCGCACAUCACCGCAGUGGCUUGGCCCUCAGAUUGAGGUUAUCCGUGCUGCCACCAAGUCGAUCGAGCGGGAAAUCAACUCCGUCAACGACAACCCACUCAUCGACGUCUCCCGUGGCAAAGCUAUCCACGGUGGUAACUUUCAGGGCACACCCAUCGGUGUGUCCAUGGACAACACCAGGCUUGCCAUUGCUGCGAUUGGCAAGCUCAUGUUUGCCCAAUUCUCAGAGCUGGUGAACGACUUCUACAACAACGGUCUUCCCUCCAACCUCUCCGGUGGGCGCAACCCAAGCUUGGACAAUGGCUUCAAGGGUGCCGAGAUUGCCAUGGCCUCCUACUGCUCCGAGCUUCAGUUCCUGGGCAACCCUGUGACCAACCAUGUCCAGAGUGCGGAGCAGCACAACCAAGAUGUCAACUCUCUUGGUCUCAUCUCCUCAAGGAAGACCGCCGAGGCCAUUGACAUACUCAAGCUCAUGUCCUCAACAUUCUUGGUCGCGCUGUGCCAGGCAAUCGACCUCCGCCACCUUGAGGAGAAUGUCAAGAAUGCUGUCAAGAGUUGUGUGAAGACUGUGGCUAGGAAGACACUGAGCACCGAUACCAAUGGCAAUCUCCACAACGCACGCUUCUGCGAGAAGGACCUUCUGCUCACAAUCGACCGUGAGGCAGUGUUUGCGUACGCAGACGAUCCUUGUAGCGCCAAUUAUCCACUCAUGCAGAAGAUGCGUGCAGUUCUUGUGGAGCAUGCCUUGGCAAAUGGUGAGGCUGAGCGCGACGUGGAGACAUCUGUGUUUGCUAAGCUUGCCACGUUCGAGCAGGAGCUUCGGGCAGUGCUGCCAAAGGAGGUUGAGGCUGCCAGGAGCGCCGUGGAGAAUGGCACUGCCGCACAGCAAAACCGUAUUGCCGAAUGCCGGUCGUACCCGCUCUACCGAUUCGUGCGCAAGGAGCUUGGAACGGAGUACUUGACUGGAGAGAAGACAAGGUCUCCUGGCGAAGAGGUGGACAAGGUGUUCAUUGCCAUGAAUCAGGGCAAGCACAUCGAUGCACUGCUUGAGUGCCUCAAGGAGUGGAACGGCGAGCCCCUCCCUAUCUGCUAAAUAGAGGAUCGAGAAAGUGAAGAGUAGUGUGCUUCAGAUUUCUGAAGGCUCUUAUGAUAAUACUGUUUUUUCAUUAUAUAUUCUAAAAGUUGAUGUUUACAAUGUUCUUCUAGAGCUGCCAAUGUAUUGCCAAAGAUUGCAAUUGCAUGACUUGGUAGUGUUGGGUAGCCAGUAGAACUUUUAUGAUGUACGUAAGUUAAAAGGGCAGCGUGUGUGUUAACUUUUCAUGAUAAAUUUACUGCCUCCAUUUUUUGGGAUCAACUGGUCCUCGUG